AAGCGGAGCCAUUCACUUGGGCGUUUCCUCCCUAAACUUUGGCCCGUUGGGUUUAGCAGCGGGCCCUUUUUAGGGCGGCG
rnacentral:sRNA from 1 species